rnacentral:rRNA from 1 species
GCUGGCGGUGCGCCUUAUGCAUGCAAGUCGAGCGAAGCUUUUCAGUAGUUUACUACAGAAAAUGACUGAGCGGCGAACGGGUGAGUAACGCGUGAGCAAUCUACCUUAGUUACAGGGAUAGCCCGAGGAAACUCGGAUUAAUACCUGAUAUUCUUUUUAUCUCGCAUGAGAUUUUAAGGAAAGGUCAGCCGAACUAAGAUGAGCUCGCGUUCUAUCAGCUAGUUGGUGAGGUAAUAGCUCACCAAGGCUACGACGGAUAGCUGGUCUGAGAGGACGAUCAGCCACACUGGGACUGAGACACGGCCCAGACUCCUACGGGAGGCUGCAGCAGGGAAUAUUGCGCAAUGAGCGAAAGCUUGACGCAGCGACACCGCGUGUGGGAUGACGGAUCUAGGUUUGUAAACCACUUUCAGGAGGGAAGAAAAUGACGGUACCUCCACAAGAAGCCCCGGCCAACUACGUGCCAGCAGCCGCGGUAAUACGUAGGGGGCGAGCGUUGUCCGGAUUUAUUGGGCGUAAAGAGCUCGUAGGCGGUUCAACAAGUCGGUCGUGAAAGUUCAGGGCUCAACCCUGAAAUGUCGAUCGAUACUGUUGUGACUAGGAUACGGUAGAGGUGAGUGGAAUUCCGAGUGUA